GCGCACGACGAGGCGCACGGUCAUGCCGUAUUCGCUCUGCACGAGUUCGGCAUCGUGCUGUUCGAUCCAGCGGCGCACGCGC
rnacentral:tRNA from 1 species